CGAACGCUGGCGGCGUGCUUAACACAUGCAAGUCGAACGGUGAAGGGGUCUGCUUUUGUGGGCCCUGGAUGAGUGGCGAACGGGUGAGUAACACGUGAGUAACCUGCCCCCUUCUUCUGGAUAACCGCAUGAAAGUGUGGCUAAUACGGGAUAUUCUGGGUCUGUCGCAUGAUGGGUCUGGGAAAGAUUGCGCCUUUGGGUGUUUUUGGUGGGGGAUGGGCUCGCGGCCUAUCAGCUUGUUGGUGGGGUGAUGGCCUACCAAGGCGGUGACGGGUAGCCGGGCUGAGAGGGUGGACGGUUACACUGGGGCUGAGACACGGCCCAGACUCCUACGGGAGGCAGCAGUGGGGAAUAUUGCACAAGGGGCGCAAGCCUGAUGCAGCGACGCCGCGUGAGGGAUGGAGGCCUUCGGGUUGUAAACCUCUUUCGGAAGUGAAGCAGGCCUGCUCCUUGUGGGUGGGUUGACGGUAGCUGGAUAAGAAGCGCCGGCUAACUACGUG
rnacentral:rRNA from 1 species